rnacentral:rRNA from 1 species
GACGAACGCUGGCGGCGUGCCUAAUACAUGCAAGUAGAACGCACAGUUUAUACCGUAGCUUGCUACACCAUAGACUGUGAGUUGCGAACGGGUGAGUAACGCGUAGGUAACCUGCCUGGUAGCGGGGGAUAACUAUUGGAAACGAUAGCUAAUACCGCAUAAUAUUGAUUAUUGCAUGAUAAUUGAUUGAAAGAUGCUAUUGCAUCACUACCAGAUGGACCUGCGUUGUAUUAGCUAGUAGGUGAGGUAACGGCUCACCUAGGCGACGAUACAUAGCCGACCUGGGAGGGUGGUCGGCCAAACUGGGACUGAGACACGGCCCAGACUCCUACGGGAGGCAGCAGUAGGGAAUCUUCGGCAAUGGACGAAAGUCUGACCGAGCAACGCCGCGGGAGUGAAGAAGGUUUUCGGAUCGUAAAGCUCUGUUGUAAGAGAAGAACGGGUGAGAGAGUGGAAAGUUCACACUGUGACGGUAUCUUACCAGAAAGGGACGGCUAACUACGUG